rnacentral:tRNA from 2 species
GCGGUGGUGUGUCAACGGUAGACGGCGAGGAUGCCAUCCUCGUAAUGGGGGUUCGAUUCCCCCUCACCGCA